CCUACGGGGGGCAGCAGUGGGGAAUAUUGGACAAUGGGCGAAAGCCUGAUCCAGCAAUGCCGCGUGUGUGAAGAAGGCCUUCGGGUUGUAAAGCACUUUCAGUGGGGAAGAAAGCCUUGGGGCUAAUACCCUCGAGGAAGGACAUCACCCACAGAAGAAGCACCGGCUAACUCCGUGCCAGCAGCCGCGGUAAUACGGAGGGUGCGAGCGUUAAUCGGAAUUACUGGGCGUAAAGCGCGCGUAGGCGGUCUGAUAAGCCGGUUGUGAAAGCCCCGGGCUCAACCUGGGAACGGCAUCCGGAACUGUCAGGCUAGAGUGCAGGAGAGGAAGGUAGAAUUCCCGGUGUAGCGGUGAAAUGCGUAGAGAUCGGGAGGAAUACCAGUGGCGAAGGCGGCCUUCUGGACUGACACUGACGCUGAGGUGCGAAAGCGUGGGUAGCAAACAGGAUUAGAUACCCGAGUAGUC
rnacentral:rRNA from 1 species